GCCCCGAGGAUUCUCAGCACCCCACCUAUGGUCUGGCCAGCAUAGGCUUGCUAGUUCCUUCUUGGUCAGAGGCAGCUGCAUGGGGGAGGGAGGCCAAGGGUUUGGUCUAAGCUGUGCCCUGCCACCUGGCAGGAGGCCCACUCACAGCCCAAGUCAUGGAAACAGGCUGGAGCAGCCCAGGAGAUGGGCCCAAGAUGUUCUGAAUCCCUUGGGUCCGAGUGUUAUGUUCCAGUCUGCCUUCCAGCCCCCAUGGAAGCUCCUGCUGGGAUGGUGUCAUCUAUGAGUUUUGAACCAGUGUGGUAUGGUCCUUGGGAGCCCUGCUCUGAGCUUGCCACACUGCUGAGCGCGCCCACUGUCCUGACCAGCGUCUCAGUGGUCCUGACCCCCAAUGUGGGCAGGGGCUGGGCAGGAGGGUGGGGUCUGCUGUGGGUUCAGAGGACCCCACCUCCUGGCUGGUUUACCUGCUGUUGCCCAUUUUCUCUGGGUACUGCUGGCCAGAGGACUUUAGCCUACCCCUGAAGAGCCUGUCCAUGUCAUUUUCCUACUGCCAUAGACACCCUAAGCCCAGGGCCCCUUGAGGCCCAGACUCAGCCUGCCCACUGGUGCCGGAGACGGAGUGGAGUGGGCAUGGAUCUGAGGGAUGCUACCUCUCCCUUUCCCACUUGAGGACCCUGGGGAGAGAUGGGGGCGGGGAAAAUGGAGGUAUGAAUUUGGGAUAAGAGGAAGUGAUAUCUGCUUGCAGGUCAGCCCCUGCCUUGCAGGAUGAGCUGACUUGACUCAGGCCCUGUGAGAUAGAGGGCCCACCCUGGCCCCGCCCACAGAUCCCCUGCUUCUGUUGUGUUCUGUUGUAAAUCAUUUGGCAAGACUGUACUUUGGUAACUGCUGCCUAACUUCCCUGUGUUCUAUUUGAGAGGCGCCUGUCUGGAUAAAGUUGUCUUGAAAUUUCA